AAUCAACGCUGGCGGCGUGCCUAACACAUGCAAGUCGAACGCGACUGGGCUUCGGCCUCAGUUGAGUGGCGAACGGGUGAGUAACACGUGGGUGACCUACCUUCGAAUGGGGGAUAACGUCCCGAAAGGGACGCUAAUACCGCAUAACAUCCUGCCUUUGAACAGGCGGAGAUCAAAGCCGGGGAUCGCAAGACCUGGCGUUUGAAGAGGGGCCUGCGUCCGAUUAGCUAGUUGGUGAGGUAACGGCUCACCAAGCGACGAUCGGUAGCCGGCCGUGAGAGGGCGGACGGCCACACUGGGACUGAGACACGGCCCAGACUCCUACGGGAGGCGAGCAGUGGGGAAUUGUUCGCAAUGGGCGCAAGCCUGACGACGCAACGCCGCGUGGAGGA
rnacentral:rRNA from 1 species